rnacentral:rRNA from 1 species
CACGUAGGGGGCGAGCGUUGUCCGGAUUUAUUGGGCGUAAAGAGCUCGUAGGCGGUUCGCUAAGUCGGGUGUGAAACCUCCAGGCUCAACCUGGAGACGCCACCUGAUACUGGUGUGACUAGAGUCCGGUAGGGGAGUGUGGAACUCCUGGUGUAGCGGUGAAAUGCGCAGAUAUCAGGAAGAACACCAGCGGCGAAGGCGGCACUCUGGGCCGGUACUGACGCUGAGGAGCGAAAGCGUGGGUAGCAAACAGGAUUAGAAACCCCCGUAGUCC